rnacentral:rRNA from 1 species
AACGAACGCUGGCGGCAGGCUUAACACAUGCAAGUCGAGCGCCCCGCAAGGGGAGCGGCCGACGGGUGAGUAACGCGUGGGAACGUACCUUUUGGUUCGGAACAACUCCGGGAAACUGGAGCUAAUACCGGAUAAGCCCUAACGGGGAAAGAUUUAUCGCCGAAAGAUCGGCCCGCGUCUGAUUAGCCAGUUGGUGAGGUAACGGCUCACCAAGGCGACGAUCAGUAGCUGGUCUGAGAGGAUGAUCAGCCACACUGGGACUGAGACACGGCCCAGACUCCUACGGGAGGCAGCAGUGGGGAAUAUUGGACAAUGGGCGCAAGCCUGAUCCAGCCAUGCCGCGUGAGUGAUGAAGGCCUUAGGGUUGUAAAGCUCUUUUGUCCGGGAAGAUAAUGACUGUACCGGAAGAAUAAGCCCCGGCUAACUUCGUG